rnacentral:rRNA from 1 species
CUUGAAUCUCUAUAAGAGGUCCAGCCUGCCCAGUGAAAUAUAUUCAACGGCCGCGGUAUCCUAACCGUGCGAAGGUAGCGUAAUCACUUGCUCUCUAAAUCAGGACUUGUAUGAACGGCACCACGAGGGUUAUACUGUCUCCUUUUUCCAAUUAGUGAACUUAAUCUUCCCGUGAAGAAGCGGGAAUGACCCUAUAAGACGAGAAGACCCUAUGGAGCUUUAAACAUUUAGCAUCUGCACAUAUCUUAAUAUUUCAGAAAUUAUUAGACUCCCGCAUAAUGACUAGAAGUUUUAGGUUGGGGUGACCACGGAGUAAAACACAUCCUCCACGAUGAAAGACCUACAUUUCUUAACUAAGAAACACAUUUCUAAGUAUCAGUACACUGACAUUUUUGACCCAAUACACUUGAUCAACGAAC